rnacentral:rRNA from 1 species
GAUGAACGCUGGCGGCGUGCCUAAUACAUGCAAGUCGAGCGAACAGACGAGGAGCUUGCUCCUCUGACGUUAGCGGCGGACGGGUGAGUAACACGUGGAUAACCUACCUAUAAGACUGGGAUAACUUCGGGAAACCGGCGCUAAUACCGGAUAAUAUAUUGAACCGCAUGGUUCAAUAGUGAAAGACGGUUUUGCUGUCACUUAUAGAUGGAUCCGCGCCGCAUUAGCUAGUUGGUAAGGUAACGGCUUACCAAGGCAACGAUGCGUAGCCGACCUGAUAGGGUGAUCGGCCACACUGGAACGGAGACACGGUCCAGACUCCUACGGGAGGCAGCAGUAGGGAAUCUUCCGCAAUGGGCGAAAGCUUGACGGAGCAACGCCGCGUGAGUGAUGAAGGUCGUCGGAUCGUAAAACUCUGUUAUUAGGGAAGAACAAAUGUGUAAGUAACUAUGCACGUCUUGACGGUACCUAAUCAGAAAGCCACGGCUAACUACGUGC